CAUUAUGAAGCUAAUCCAGCAUUAACCUUUUAAGUUAAAGACUAGGAGUCUAAACCUCCUCAUAAUGAC
rnacentral:tRNA from 1 species